GCUUGUCUCAAAGAUUWAGCCAUGCAUGUCUAAGUACAUGCCUAAACUAAGGCGAAACCGCGAAUGGCUCAUUACAUCAGUUGUGGUUCCUUGGACGUGUCCCUUUUACUUGGAUAACUGUGGUAAUUCUAGAGCUWAUACAUGCAGCAAAGCCCCGACCUCGCGGGACGGGCGCAUUUAUUAGGCCAAGACCAAUCGGGCCCCCUCGCGGGGCCCGUCAAGUUAUGGCGACUCUGGAUAACCUCGGGCUGAUCGCACGGUCGCGAACCGGCGACGCAUCCUUCAAGUGUCUGCCUUAUCAACUUUCGAUGGUAGGUUACGCGCCUACCAUGGUUGUAACGGGUGACGGGGAAUCAGGGUUCGAUUCCGGAGAGGGAGCCUGAGAAACGGCUACCACAUCCAAGGAAGGCAGCAGGCGCGCAAAUUACCCACUCCCGGCACGGGGAGGUAGUGACGAAAAAUAACAAUACGGGACUCUUUCGAGGCCUCGUAAUUGGAAUGGGUACAGUCUAAACCCUUUAACGAGUAUCCAUUGGAGGGCAAGUCU
rnacentral:rRNA from 1 species